rnacentral:rRNA from 1 species
UAGGGAAUCUUCGGCAAUGGACGAAAGUCUGACCGAGCAACGCCGCGUGAGUGAAGAAGGUUUUCGGAUCGUAAAACUCUGUUGUUAGAGAAGAACAAGGACGUUAGUAACUGAAUGUCCCCUGACGGUAUCUAACCAGAAAGCCACGGCUAACUACGUGCCAGCAGCCGCGGUAAUACGUAGGUGGCAAGCGUUGUCCGGAUUUAUUGGGCGUAAAGCGAGCGCAGGCGGUUUCUUAAGUCUGAUGUGAAAGCCCCCGGCUCAACCGGGGAGGGUCAUUGGAAACUGGGAGACUUGAGUGCAGAAGAGGAGAAUGGAAUUCCAUGUGUAGCGGUGAAAUGCGUAGAUAUAUGGAGGAACACCAGUGGCGAAGGCGGCUCUCUGGUCUGUAACUGACGCUGAGGCUCGAAAGCGUGGGGAGCAAACAGG